AUGGCGUCAUGCGAAACCUUGAGGGCAAGACCUCAGAGAUAUUUCCCACAGAUUUGUCUGACAUAUGACCAUAUGGAUCAUAUGGUGAAGUUUCAUGGCCGGACUGGUCUCAAGAGGUCUGAAGAAGUGGAGGACUAUUUUGAUAUUCAGUUUCUAACUGCUGAAGACGCCAACCGUGCCUUUAACCAUCUCAAGGGCAAGGUACCAAACAUGGAGUUCAGUUGGGCGCCGAGGAACAUUAUCAAAGACAAGCCACCAACUGGAGUGGUGGAUACUUCAUUCGUCCCACCAAAAUGUGAUCUCGAUUGCUUUAGUGAGCUGCCUUCCCUGCCCAUUCCUGCCAAUCAGCCAUUCCCCACAUUCUGGAAGUUGCCGCCUCCACAGCAUAAACGGAAGAGAGGUCGACAGUCUCCAGAGCCUCCACGUUCCGCAGAGCGGUAUCCCCCAAGUAGUGUUCAGAUGGAUGAAGUCGACCCACGCCCUCCAUUCACAGCGCGCUACUGGGCGCAACUUCGUCCGAUAUACAGUACCAACAUAUGA
rnacentral:rRNA from 1 species